UACGUAGGGUGCGAGCGUUUGUCCGGAAUUAUUGGGCGUAAAGAGCUCGUAGGCGGUGUGUCACGUCGUUCGUGAAAACCUGCAGCUUAACUGUGGGCGUGCGGUCGAUACGGGCAUCACUGGAGUUCGGCAGGGGAGAAUGGAAUUCCUGGUGUAGCGGUGAAAUGCGCAGAUAUCAGGAAGAACACCCGUGGCGAAGGCGGCUCUCUGGGACGGGUACUGGACGGCUGAGACGCGAAAAGCGUGGGGGAGCGAACAGG
rnacentral:rRNA from 1 species